AAAGAGAUGGCUGAGUGGUUAAGGCGGCGGCCUGUAAAGUCGUUAUGGAAACAUGUCGUGGUUCAAUUCCUACUCUCAA
rnacentral:tRNA from 1 species